rnacentral:rRNA from 1 species
GAUGAACGCUGGCGGCGUGCCUAAUACAUGCAAGUCGAACGCUGAAGCUUGGUGCUUGCACCGAGCGGAUGAGUUGCGAACGGGUGAGUAACGCGUAGGUAACCUGCCUCUUAGCGGGGGAUAACUAUUGGAAACGAUAGCUAAUACCGCAUAAAAGUCGAUAUCGCAUGAUAUUGAUUUGAAAGGUGCAAAUGCAUCACUAAGAGAUGGACCUGCGUUGUAUUAGCUAGUUGGUGAGGUAACGGCUUACCAAGGCGACGAUACAUAGCCGACCUGAGAGGGUGAUCGGCCACACUGGGACUGAGACACGGCCCAGACUCCUACGGGAGGCAGCAGUAGGGGAUCUUCGGCAAUGGGGGCAACCCUGAACGAGCAACGCCGCGUGAGUGAAGAAGGUUUUCGGAUCGUAAAGCUCUGUUGUAAGAGAAGAACGAGUGUGAGAGUGGAAAGUUCACACUGUGACGGUAACUUACCAGAAAGGGACGGCUAACUACGUG